AUAUCAAUAAGCGGAGGAAAAGAAACCAACAGGGAUUGCCCCAGUAACGGCGAGUGAAGCGGCAACAGCUCAAAUUUGAAAUCUGGCCCUAGGCCCGAGUUGUAAUUUGUAGAGGAUGUUUCUGACGAGGUACCUUCCGAGUUCCCUGGAACGGGACGCCAUAGAGGGUGAGAGCCCCGUACGGUUGGUCGCCAAGUCUCUGUGAAACUCCUUCGACGAGUCGAGUAGUUUGGGAAUGCUGCUCUAAAUGGGAGGUAUACGUCUUCUAAAGCUAAAUAUAGGCCAGAGACCGAUAGCGCACAAGUAGAGUGAUCGAAAGAUGAAAAGCACUUUGAAAAGAGGGUUAAAUAGUAC
rnacentral:rRNA from 1 species